UGAGGAAUAUUGGUCAAUGGGCGAGAGCCUGAACCAGCCAAGUAGCGUGAAGGAUGACCGCCCUAUGGGUUGUAAACUUCUUUUAUAUGGGAAUAAAGGGUGCCACGUGUGGCAUUUUGUAUGUACCAUAUGAAUAAGGAUCGGCUAACUCCGUGCCAGCAGCCGCGGUAAUACGGAGGAUCCGAGCGUUAUCCGGAUUUAUUGGGUUUAAAGGGAGCGUAGGUGGACAUGUAAGUCAGUUGUGAAAGUUUGCGGCUCAACCGUAAAAUUGCAGUUGAAACUGCGUGUCUUGAGUACAGUAGAGGUGGGCGGAAUUCGUGGUGUAGCGGUGAAAUGCUUAGAUAUCACGAAGAACUCCGAUUGCGAAGGCAGCUCACUGGACUGCAACUGACACUGAUGCUCGAAAGUGUGGGUAUCAAACAGGAUUAGAUACCCUGGUAGUCCACACGGUAAACGAUGGAUACUCGCUGUUGGCGAUAUACUGUCAGCGGCUUAGCGAAAGCGUUAAGUAUCCCACCUGGGGAGUACGCCGGCAACGGCGAAACUCAAAGGAAUUGACGGGGGCCCGCACAAGCGGAGGAACAUGUGGUUUAAUUCGAUGAUACGCGAGGAACCUUACCCGGGCUUAAAUUGCAAAGGAAUAAUCUGGAAACAGGUUAGUCUUCGGACCUUUGUGAAGGUGCUGCAUGGUUGUCGUCAGCUCGUGCCGUGAGGUGUCGGCUUAAGUGCCAUAACGAGCGCAACCCUCGCCGCCAGUUACUAACAGUUAAAGCUGAGGACUCUGGCGGGACUGCCAUCGUAAGAUGUGAGGAAGGUGGGGAUGACGUCAAAUCAGCACGGCCCUUACGUCCGGGGCUACACACGUGUUACAAUGGGGGGUACAGAAGGCAGCUACACGGCGACGUGAUGCUAAUCCCUAAAGCCUCUCUCAGUUCGGAUUGGAGUCUGCAACCCGACUCCAUGAAGCUGGAUUCGCUAGUAAUCGCGCAUCAGCCACGGCGCGGUGAAUACGUUCCC
rnacentral:rRNA from 1 species